GAAGUGGGCUGGACGGUCGCUGCUGUGGAGGUCUUCGCGACUGAAGCAGGGGAGGAAAGUCCGGGCUUCAUAGGGCAAGGUGCCAGGUAACGCCUGGGCGGCGAAAGCCGACGGCAAGUGCAGCAGAGAGUAGACCGCCUCAUUCGUGAGGUAAGGGUGAAAGGGUGCGGUAAGAGCGCACCGCGUGUCUGGUAACAGUUCACGGCAAGGUAAACCCCACCAGAAGCAAGACCAAAUAGGAAUCCUGAGGCACGGCCCGUGCUGGAUUCGGGUAGGUCGCUUGAGCGUAUGAGUGAUUAUACGCCUAGAGGAAUGAUCGUCCUCGACAGAACCCGGCUUAUAGGCUCACUUCUAAG
rnacentral:RNase_P_RNA from 1 species